AUCGUCUGGACGCAGUCUGAUGCAGCACGCGCGUGAUGCUGAGAGCCUUCGGGUCUGUAAGCUCUUUCGUCAGGGAGGAACAGUGUGCGAGCAGUAACUGCUCGUCCCUUGACGGUACCCGCCCAGAAAGCCCCGGCUAACUACGUGCCAGCAGCCGCGGUAAUA
rnacentral:rRNA from 1 species